AGAAUCAACGCUGGCGGCGUGCCUAACACAUGCAAGUCGAACGAGAAAGGGGAGCAAUCCCUGAGUAAAGUGGCGCACGGGUGAGUAACACGUGACUAACCUACCCUGGAGUGGGGGAUAACUGAGGGAAACCUUAGCUAAUACCGCAUAAUACCUAUGGGUCAAAGGAGCAAUUCGCUUUGGGAGGGGUCGCGGCCGAUUAGUUAGUUGGCGGGGUAAUGGCCCACCAAGACAGUGAUCGGUAUCCGGCCUGAGAGGGCGCACGGACACACUGGAACUGAAACACGGUCCAGACUCCUACGGGAGGCAGCAGUGGGGAAUUUGCGCAAUGGGGAAACCCUGACGCAGCAACGCCGCGUGGAGGAUGAAGUACUUCGGUACGUAAACUCCUUUCGAUCGGGACGAUAAUGACGGUACCGGAAGAAGAAGCCCCGGCUAACUUCGUGCCAGCAGCCGC
rnacentral:rRNA from 1 species